rnacentral:lncRNA from 1 species
CUUGGUCAAAAGUUCCUCUCAAAAACGUUCUUCCUCUCCAAAAUAGGUUUAAGACCCUUUAUAUACGAGUUGGGACCGUGUAGGUCCGAAAUAACUAAGUCCCGGGCAAAAUAGGACAAGUCCCCGCUUCGAGCGUCCAGACCAGCGCCUAGCGCUGGCCCUGGCGCAGAAAGCAGUGACAGUUUUGCAAUUCCUUCUUGCUGCGUUUUUUAUUUGCAUUCUUAUACCUUAUUCUUUUGUCUUCCACUUGGGGGAUAAAACCUAAAGUGUGUCCCCUCCCCCCUCUUUUUUAUUAUUUUAUUUUCCUUUUUUUCUUCCGCGUUUUAUUUAAUUUUGCUCCAAAUUUCUUUAUCUUCACACCGGUUUAUUCCACAUAGUUAAAAUAAUAUUAAGCAUAAAGUAAUAUAAUUAAUACUCAAAGGACGAUUCAAAGUACUAUAAUACGAGGUAAUAAUGGGUAAAUAUAUGUAUUUUUUUAGCCGAACAUCACCACCCCACACUUAAACGUUGCUCGUCCUCGAGUCAACCAAUAAUUCACGCUAUUCUUGAGCAUUUUAGAUUUACACAUUUGAAGCACACUACACCAAUGACCAUGGUUGAUAGCAAAAAUAAAACCUUAGCAUAUGCAAUCACAUACACUUCCAUUUUUCUUAUGCCAAACUUCAAAAAUAUUCAAACAAAGACAACAUGCUCAUAACAAUCCUAGCUCAAAAAACGAUUCAAUGUCACAAUGCACUCAUGGCUUGAACACUCAAUAUCGUAGAGAAGUCUAAUAAUGUUACCUAUCCCUCGUGAAACCAUGUACUUUCACAACAAGAACAAAAGAGUAAGGUAAUUCCACACACUUAAAUCAAAUGCUCAAAUAUAUUUUAAGGACUCAUAUAUAUCAAAAAAAUCACUCACCCUCACAAAAAAAGUCAUAUGCAUGCAAUCAGUACCAUAGGCUUGCCCGUAAUGUAAAUCACUACUAAUAUAGGCUCGCUCGAUCUAAAACCAAUUAGGACUUUUCAUGGUUGUAAUGUGGGCUAAGGGACGGGUAUGAUAUAUUUUAGGAAUAGUGACUUACCCUCCUAAGCACUUUAACACAUUACACAAUCAACUUUAAGCGCAAAUUCUUCAAUCCCAACUUCAAUUUCACAAACAAUAUUAUCCCCAAAAAUAUUCCCUUUUUAUUUAAGCACUAUCGUCAUUUACACUCCACUAGCAAAAACAAGAUAUUAAUUCAUCUGCAUUUUUUUCUUCUUAUAUUUUCUUUUUCAAUUUUCGGUAGUGGUGUAUUUCGUUACAAAACAAGUGCACCUUUCUUCCUUUCAUUGGUUUCACUCAAAAGUCACCCCACACUUAGUCCCUUCUUAUUUCUUUGAGCGCUCAUUUCACAAUUAAAGUGCUUUAAGAGGUAAAAGGAUCAAAAAUAUCAAUUAAGAUCAAAAAGAGUAUAGGCUCGUAAUGUGGGUGUCAAAUAAAUGUUUAUAGUUUCAAAAGAGUUAAUUAGGGAUAUAUUUUAUCUGUGAAAAUCAAUAAAGCUCAAAAAUAUAAGUCAAAGAAAGCCUAAAAUCAUUUUUCAAACCGAGCAUCACCUAAAAUUUUGCUUCAACUCACAUACCGGACAAGUUCUAGACACAAGUACAAUACAUGGACUAUACAAAAACAUCACCACAUGGCACACGACUCACUAAGGACGGUCAUAUUCCGACUCUCAACUAAUGCAUGUAUUCACAAAGCCACGAGAUAUUAAGUAUUAAGAACAAAGUGAACAUAAGUCAAGUGAAUGAGACAUAGGCGUCAAUAACAUGAUAUCUAAUAUGUACAAGCAUCAUAGACAAUUUCAAGAUAUAGGAAAGAUACUACACAUGCCAAAGCCUAAAUAUGCUACUAUCAAACAAGUCAAGGGCGCCUAGGUUUAUUCGUCCUCCUUUUAUUCCCUAAAUUCCUAAUCUACUCUAAAAGGAAAAAAUAUCACCGGUUCAAACUACAUCCCACGGAAAAGAACCGAGGCACAAAGAAAAAUCACAGGGGAUUAUUACUACCUAAAGAAAGCUAAAAGACAUAUUUUGUGUUUUUCUAUUUUUAAUUUUUUUUUUAUGUUUUUGGUUUGAUUUUAAUCCCACAAGAAAACUUUCUAGGAGAUCCAUUGUCGGGAAAAGUAAAAAAAAAAAAUUCUUUUUUUCCGAUUUUUCGGAUUUUUCACAUUUAAAAAAGAAUAAAAAAUUAAGCUACUAGAACUACUACUAAAUUACUACACAACUACAAAAACAAAAAUAAGAAGCUAAAAUUAAAAAAAAAUUAAUAUUUUUACUAACAUACUACUAAUAAUUAUCUAAAAGAAUUCUCACACCCCACACUUAAAAGAAUGCAAUGUUCCCGAUGCACAAAUAAAACAAAAAUAACAAGGGUAAACAAGAAACUCUCUGAAAGGCCAAAGGCCGAAGCAAUAGCAGCUUACGGGAUAAUCAGACUUCUCCCAAGGAUGGUCCUUUGUGCGGAUACCUCACACUAGUUCCUAUUGACUAGGUCACUUUUGCACACUUCCAAUGGAUUUCUUCCUAUGCUCAUAAUCCUACAAAAUAAAACAACACUACAAAAAUAAUAGAAAAAUAAGAAAGAAAAAAAACAAAAUUAAAAGAAAGCAGUAAAGAUGGGUUGCCUCCCAACAAGCGCCUGAUUUAAUGUCGCGGCAUGACGUGAAACACUUUUUCCUCCACCUUGAACUUAUGAAUUGUACCCCUCACGGGGGUUCCAGUUUUCUGCUAUGCUCUUUUGGUGGGGCUACAAAGAUAACCAAACCAAGUAAUAAAUUUUUCACUCUGUACUUCUCGGUCUUUAGAUAAGGAAUGUAAUUUUUGCUUUUUGGCACAACAAAUUCAAGAGUAUAGGCACUCUCAUACUCACCCUUUGACUCCCUCAGAGGCUCAAAUGGCUUGAUUACUAUCUUACUGUCUAAACACAAUGUGAAAAAAUAAUUGGAAUGGGGUCUAAUGCGUCCUAACUCAUGCAUUGUACUACUAUUUACAUUCUCAUAUAUACACACACUCAAGUCUCCCAAAGUAAUGUUAUCUACUCCCUGAUAUGACUCUAGAGUAUUCUUCUCAAUAUUGGCAUCCUCAAGAAAAACAUGAUCUAACGAUUGGUAUUCUCGUUUUAGCUCCUUAAUUUAGUCUAGAAGAUUUUUUUCAGCUUCACACAACUCAUUAUUAAAUUGUUGGGCGUUAUACGCAUCAACCUUUGCACUCAAAUCUGCAUCCAAUUUAUGAAUAGCCAAGCCAAAAUUAUUAAUUUUAUGUGCAAGCUCAUCUCUCUCCUUAGACCAAUCACACACCGACGUUGUUAAAAGACAGCGCAGUUCCGUUUAUUCGCUCAAUCGAGAAUAUUCGUCCCAAUAUCAACCUUUACUCUCAUAUUCAAAUUCAGACCUCCCAGAGUUCAGGGCAUGACAAGCCCAAAAAGACGGGCCAUAAAAGUCUUCCAUCAACCAAGCGUCUUCAUCAAUAACCUUACCUCCGGAUACUUCAUUCCCAGAUGUCAUGUUGAGAGAACUAGAAACACACUAGAGAAACGUUAAAUAGUUAUAAGAUAAAAUAUUUACAAAAAGAAGAAAAAAAACUUGUAAAAAUAAAAGUAAAAGUUUAAUAUAGAAAAAUAGUUAAUUUCUAAAUCCCGACAACGACGCCAAAAACUUGUUGCGGCCAAACACACACGCAAGUAUACGCGAUCGUCAAGUAAUAAAGUUAUUAAAAGUCAGAUGUCGAACUCACGAGGACUUGUGAUUAACUAUUAACUAAAAUAGACUAUCCUAAUUAUCUAAACAAGAAUUAAACCUAGAAAUAUUCGGUUCUAAACUAAUCAAAAUAAAGGAAAAUAAAUGGUGAACUCUGAACAAGGAAAAAGAAGAUUUUUAUGAUAUUAAUGUAAUGAAAACGAUUUAGGGUCAUGAGCUAUCUAACACUCCUAUUGUAUUUUUCAAUUGAAUUGACUAACUAAUUUAUCUAGUUUAUUGGUUGACAAGGUUAAUAUUGCUCAUAAGAAUCUGUCGAGUUCUUACUUGCCUAUUCAAGCUAACCUAACACCUAUAUGUCUAUGAAGUUAGAAUCAGCAAGAACGCAUUUAUAAUUCCUGUAUAUCAACCAAGCAAGGCAAUUAGAUAUAUAUCUAUCCUAAUCGCGAAUCCAUUCCCCGAUGCCCGGAUUCAAGAACUUGCUCUACUCAAUUCUAUAUGCAAUCUAGAAUUCCCACUUUUGAGUUCAACUCUUGAUUCGUAGAUAGUAUUCAAUUGAUGAUCAAGCAAUUAAAUAAUUAAGCGCGAGAUUGAAUAAAUAAACCAAUAUGAUAAACUAAGAAGUCAAAAUCAAUAUUCGAAUAACAAUAGUCAUGAAAGAACCACAACCCUAGAACGUGAAGUUUAACUCCACAUAGACAUGGUAGCCAAAUAAUAAUUUAUACAAAGAAACAUAAAAAUUAUUAAAUUUGGUGGAAGAAAAGAUGAAAUCCGACCUCCACGGCGGCUCUGUGCUCUUCCUUGGUCAAAAGUUCCUCUCAAAAACGUUCUUCCUCUCCAAAAUAGGUUUAGGACCCCUUUUAUACGAGUUGAGACCGUGCAGGACCGAAAUAACUAAGUCCCGAACGAAAUAGGACAAGUCCCCGCUUCGAGCAUCUAGACCAGCGUUGGCGCUGGCUCAGAAAGCAGUGACGAUUUUGCAAUUCCUUCUUGCUGCGUUUGUGAUUUGCAUUCUUAUACCUUAUUCUUUUGUCUUCCACUUGGGGGACAAAACCUAAAGGGUGUCCCUCCCCCCUCCCUUUUAUUAUUUUAUUUUCCUUCCUUUUUCUUCACCGUUUUAUUUAAUUUUGCUCCAAAUCUCUUUAUUUUCAAAGCCCUUUAUUCCUACACAGUUAAUAAUAUUCAAAAGACGAUUCAAAGUAUUAGAAUAUAAGGUAACAAUGGGUAAAUAUAUGUAGUUUUUAGCCGAACAUCAUUCAGUCAAAUAUUGCUUUGUGAUUUGUCCUGAUAUAUUGGAAGAAAACCUGGAAGUAGUGAAAUCAAGUGCAAUAAUGGGAUGCUAAUACAGGCAUGAAGUAAAGCAAGGAAGUGAACGUUAUCGUGGGAACAAACUGCUUUUAAACUUCUAAAUAGAUAAAACAUUCUAUUGUGUGUACCGUGUAAAUUAAGUCAGUGUAUCUAUUAUCAACUAGAGGCAAUUACUUCAUAAAUAGCCAAAUGAAAGUUAGUUACUGCAUAACAUGUCCAGGUUUAACACAACUGAAAAACAAAAUAUGAAUAGCAAUAGCAGUUUAAAUGAAGUAGAAUGAAAUGGUUAAGAGCCAUAUCGGCUCCCCAGAAGAUUUUAUCUUCUGUAUUUUUGCUGCCUAGACGAUGUAAAAGUUGUAAAAGAUGAGGGUGUGCAAUCUUGGCGAGGUAGCGGCGUCGAGUCCCGCAUUGGAACUCCUUGCGGCUCCGAUGUUUAUGAAAUGCAAAGAAAUAGAAAGAAAGGAUAUUAGAGGGGGUCGGAAUCAAAUAUAUAGAAUAAACUUAACAAGAAAAUAAACCUAAAGCAUGGUAUUUAAGCUCAUGGAUGAUUACUGCCAUACUUUAUAAUGUAAAGUAAGUUAGAUCUAACAAGUAAUCAGCAAUGAUGAACAAACAGAGCAUGUAAAUGAAUAUAUGUUAAAGGCAUUCUAGCAUUUCUCAUUUAACCACAGUAGUAUGUGUUGGUAACCAAUUUAAUUUGUUUUUAAAAGAUGUUUAAUAUCUACAGGUAAGGUAUCUAGUUAUUAAACUAAAAGCUUAAGUCCUAAGUUGAGGUGAUGAUUGUGAAAGUGUUCAAUUCACUAAUUAAAUACGAAGACAUCAUUUUAUCCCAACAAAUUUCAAAACCAGACUUAGGUGUUAUACAAAAGGCAGCUGCUAAGAGUUUCUAGAGUGAAAUCCUAAUGAACAUGACGUCUAUCACCUCAAUGGAACUGAGUUUCCACUCAAAUACAUAUUCAUAAUAAAGGUAGGAAUCAACUCUCCUUAUUAUCACGAUUAUUAGACAUUUUAAAGUAAAAUAAAAGAUCUCCAAAGUUACAAAAUUACAAAUCACCAUCUCUAAUAGGGCAAGUCUUAUAAACAUUCAAGUACAUAUUUUGGUCAAACUAACAGAAUUUCUCCAAGAUACUAUGACUUUUAAAACAGAUUUUUAGCUUGGCGGUUAAGCACGAAACUUAAGCAUGCUUAUCUAUUCACAAACUAAAACAGACAGCGAGAUAAAGUAGAAAAUAUUUCCCAUAAACAAACAUGGAGCAUGUAUUAAACACUGAAAAUAGUUCGUAUAAGGAGGGCAAGCAAUAGCUUUUCAACAGGAAGUAAAGAAGCUGGAAAAAGACUAAGAUCAGACCUUUUUGUGGGCAGUGAACGGGAGCUUGAGCAACUUCAGAUCUACUAACGAGAUCGAAUCUAAAACUAGUUUGAGCGAACUGAAUCGAGAGACCCCAGAGAGCUAACUUUUCAAAAUAUUUUUUUUAUGAAAAUAAUAGAGAUUUCGAUUGUAGUAAAGUUGUCUAUCACACCCUGAUUCCCCAAAAUGAUUCAGUUGAAGGUUUUAGGAGUAUUUAUAGGAGAAGACUAGGAUUUGGAAGCGGGAAUUGAAAGAUCCAUUUAAAAUUCAAAAUGCUCGUUCAAGAUCUGUCCAAAAAUGUGUCAGAAAGAAGAUCAACAAAAUCAUCCUCUUCCUUCAGAGAUACAACGAUUUGGUCAACUUCGAUGCCAAAGUUUUCGGCUUUUCAUUUAAUAUGCAAGAGAGAGAAUGAAGACUCUGCUGAAAAAUGGUGAAACCAUUCUCAUUUCGUAGUGAAAGCAAGUUGAAAUUUUGUCCAAGAGAGGAAAGGGGUGGGGUCAGCUGCAUAGAGGGAAGA